CUGCUGCCUUCCGUAGGAGUUUGGACCGUGUCUCAGUUCCAAUGUGGGGGACCUUCCUCUCAGAACCCCUACGCAUCGUCGGCUUGGUGGGCCGUUGCCCCACCAACUACCUAAUGCGCCGCAUGCCCAUCCGUGACCGGGGUCGCCCCUUUGGCCGGCAGGGGAUGUCCCCUCCCGGCACUUAUGUUGUAUUAGGCGGGAUUUCUCCCGGUUAUCCAUCUGUCACGGCCAGGUUGCAUACGUGUUACUCACCCGUGCGCCGGUCGCCGGCGG
rnacentral:rRNA from 1 species